rnacentral:rRNA from 1 species
AUUGAACGCUGGCGGCAGGCCUAACACAUGCAAGUCGAGCGAGUGGCGGACGGGUGAGUAAUGUCUGGGAAACUGCCUGAUGGAGGGGGAUAACUACUGGAAACGGUAGCUACUACCGCAUACCAUCAGAUGUGCCCAGAUGGGAUUAGCUCGUUGGUGGGGUAACGGCUCACCUAGGCGACGAUCCCUAGCUGGGCUGAGAGGAUGACCAGGCACAAUGGAACUGAGACACGGUCCAGACUCCUACGGGAGGCAGCAGUGGGGAAUAUUGCACAAGGGGCGCAAGCCUGAUGCAGCCAUGCCGCGUGUAUGAAGAGGGCCUUCGGGUUGUAAAGGACUUUCAGCGGGGAGGCGUUACCCGCAGAAGAAGCACCGGCUAACUCCGUGCCAGCAGCCGCGGUAAUAC